rnacentral:rRNA from 1 species
AUUGAACGCUGGCGGCAGGCUUAACACAUGCAAGUCGAGCGGGGGAAGGUAGCUUGCUACCGGACCUAGCGGCGGACGGGUGAAUAAUGCUUAGGAAUCUGCCUAUUAGUGGGGGACAACAUCUCGAAAGGGAUGCUAAUACCGCAUACGUCCUACGGGAGAAAGCAGGGGAUCUUCGGACCUUGCGCUAAUAGAUGAGCCUAAGUCGGAUUAGCGAGUUGGUGGGGUAAAGGCCUACCAAGGCGACGAUCUGUAGCGGGUCUGAGAGGAUGAUCCGCCACACUGGGACUGAGACACGGCCCAGACUCCUACGGGAGGCAGCAGUGGGGAAUAUUGGACAAUGGGGGGAACCCUGAUCCAGCCACGCCGCGUGUGUGAAGAAGGCCUUAUGGUUGUAAAGCACUUUAAGCGAGGAGGAGGCUACUCUAGUUAAUACCUAGGGAUAGUGGACGUUACUCGCAGAAUAAGCACCGGCUAACUCUGUGCCAGCCGCCGCGGUAA